rnacentral:misc_RNA from 1 species
GAAAUAAACCUGAUAAGUUGCUGCUGGUUCUCUAGGGAGCAAUGUGCACACUUGUCAUCUUUGUAUCUUCACCUGUGCACCUUUUGUAGACCUGACUAUCUCUCUGAAUGCUUUAUAGCACUCAGGAUUGGGAAUUGACUUCUUGUCUCUUCUUACAUUUUCAGGCCUAUGUUUACAUAUACCCUAAUGUAUGUUUAUAGAAUGUAAUUAAUGGGCCUUUGUGCCUAUAAACCUUUACAACUUUCAGCAACGGAUCUCUUGGCUCU